rnacentral:lncRNA from 1 species
CACUACAACAUCUUCUCAAACAAGAAUCACACAUCACUCCACCAUCCUCUCUCCCCCCUUCGAUUGACUGAGCGGCCGGCCACCACCACCGUCUGGUGGUGGCGCGGCGACUAGAUGAGAGAGACGAAAAGAGAGAGAGAGAGAGUCGCAGGAGUCAGAAGGGCGGCUGCACAGCGGCGCCGCCGCUGCGGCGGCGGUGAUGGAGGUGACGACGGCGGUAUUUUUUUCGGCGGAGAGAAGCUCCGGCCGUCGGAGUUCGAUGAAGACAGAAGUCUGGUGAUUUCAUAUAGUUUUGGCUCAGAUUCAAGUAAAAGGUUAUAAACUCACGUUUUGGGGUUACGUCUCAGGUUCGGGUCAACAAUUUCUGUUCGGGAUUGAGUUUUGGUUCUGGUUCGAGUCAACUCGGUUCGGGUCCGGGUCAUACAGUUAAGGCAGUCAACAAGUCAGCGGGUACGGGUCCAAAGCAGUGAACGGUUCGGGUCACGGGUUGGUUCAACUCGGUCAAACCGAGUCAACUCAGUCAACAGACGGUCAACAGACGGUCAACAGAAGUCAACGAAAGACCCGGAAUACUAUAGAUGCACGCUAGCUAAUUCACGUUCUUGGAAUGACACUUUGGAAUCACGCUAAGCUAGCUUUGCACAAGAAGGUCAAGGUUGCAUUUUCAAAACUAUGGAACGGUUGGAAUAGGAGAACCCACGGGAUUUCGAGUACUUAGCGGGCGUUCAUUGUUUAGAAGUCUGAGCUUUUUGCUUCCGCUGUGCAAUGAAGAUACCGGUCCAGUCACGCCAGCUCUGAUAUUUCGGGGUGUGACAAUCAGAUCAUUCAAGAUCUGAUCCAAACGUACAAGCCACUCGCACAAGCGGACCAGCCGCACAAGCUGAUCUAAUCGCACAAAGCACUUAGUUGCACAAGCCCUCCAAUCGCACAACUAGGACUGGAUCGCACAAGAUUGCUUUGCUCAUUUGUUGUUUGGGCCGGGUAUUCUAGUUGGGCUGGGCUAUUCAAAUCGUACAAGCCUAGGUCACGUCGCACAAAUGGGCAUGUUGUUUAACUGUUGGGCCGAAUGAUAUUUGGGCUGGAUAUGUUGUACCGUUCACUUAUGUUAUUUGGGCCGGGACUAUGCGGAUCGCACAACAUGUUGUGGAUCGCACAACAUGUUGGGCCAGAUAUUAUUGGGCUGAUUUUAAUUGCACAAGUUAAAUGGAAUAUUAACUGUUAAAGUGUACUUGAUUGAAUACGUGUUAACUCUAUGAUACAUACGUGCAAUACUUGAACAC